AUCGAACGCUGGCGGAAUGCUUUACACAUGCAAGUCGAGCGGCAGCGCGGGGCAACCUGGCGGCGAGCGGCGAACGGGUGAGUAAUACAUCGGAACGUACCCUGUUGUGGGGGAUAACGAAUCGAAAGAUUCGCUAAUACCGCAUACGACCUGAGGGUGAAAGUGGGGGAUCGCAAGACCUCACGCGAUAGGAGCGGCCGAUGUCGGAUUAGCGAGUUGGUGGGGUAAAGGCUAACCAAGGCGACGAUCCGGAGCGGGUGUGGGAGGACGGCCCGCGACACUGGAACUGAGACACGGUCCAGACUCCUACGGGAGGCAGCGGUGGGGAAUGUUGGACAAUGGGGGCAACCCUGAUCCAGCCAUUCCGCGUGAGUGAAGAAGGCCUUCGGGUUGUAAAGCUCUUUCGGCAGGAACGAAACGGUCCUAGUUAAUACCUGGGGCUAAUGACGGUACCUGAAGAAGAAGCACCGGCUAACUACGUGCCAGCCGCCGCCGUAA
rnacentral:rRNA from 1 species